AGUGAACGCUGGCGGUAGACCUAACACAUGCAAGUCGAACGGCAGCACAGUAAGAGCUUGCUCUUACGGGUGGCGAGUGGCGGACGGGUGAGGAAUACAUCGGAAUCUACUUUUUCGUGGGGGAUAACGUAGGGAAACUUACGCUAAUACCGCAUACGACCUACGGGUGAAAGCAGGGGAUCUUCGGACCUUGCGCGAUUGAAUGAGCCGAUGUCGGAUUAGCUAGUUGGCGGGGUAAAGGCCCACCAAGGCGACGAUCCGUAGCUGGUCUGAGAGGAUGAUCAGCCACACUGGAACUGAGACACGGUCCAGACUCCUACGGGAGGCAGCAGUGGGGAAUAUUGGACAAUGGGCGCAAGCCUGAUCCAGCCACACCGCGUGGGUGAAGAAGGCCUUCGGGUUGUAAAGCCCUUUUGUUGGGAAAGAAAAGCAGCAGGUUAAUACCCCGCUGUUCUGACGGUACCCAAAGAAUAAGCACCGGCUAACUUCGUG
rnacentral:rRNA from 1 species